GAUGAAGGACGCAGCGAAAUGCGAUAAGUAAUGUGAAUUGCAGAAUUCAGUGAAUCAUCGAGUUUUUGAACGCAUAUUGCGCCCUCUGGUAUUCCGGGGGGCAUGCCUGUUCGAGCGUCAUUAAAUAACCCUCAAGCAUAGCUUGGUGUUGGGCUUUUUUACGUCCUUGACUGGGAUGGGCCUAAAAAUUAGUGGCGAUGGCUUUUUUACUUUCAAGCGUAGUAAAUCUCGUCUUGCUAAAGAGGAAAAAGAUUUUUUUUCUGCCAAAAAUUUUAACAAUUAAAGUUGACCUCGGAUCAGGUAGGAUUACCCGCUGAACUUAAGCAUAUCAAUAAGCGGAGGA
rnacentral:misc_RNA from 1 species